CUAUGACUCACUCUUGAAAUGUCUUUUCUUAGAUAGAUAUGAUCUUUGGUCAGGGAGUAUUCUAUUAGCGCAGGAAGCUUUCAGUCUGAUUCUAGGGGUGGCAAGCUGGAAACAGGAUCAUGAGUGGCCUCUAUAUGGCUUCAUACUCCAGCAGAACCUGAGGUUGUGGUUGGGAAUGAGACACAUACAAACACACAAACACACCCACACACAUACGCCAUUCUGCUGCCCUAUGGCAUGUUAUCUUUUAGUGGCUUGGCUUUUACUGGGAGAGAAGGGAAACUAACAUUUAUUAAGCACCUAGUUUGUGUCAGCACUAGGCAAUGUGCUUUCAUUAUGUUAUCUGAUGGGAUUUGAUUUUGAAGCUUUUUUUACUGAUAAGGAAACUGAGACUGAAGGAGAUGAUAUAAUCUGAACAAGAUUGCAUAGUUAAUAUGUGGGAAAAAGAGAAUUUGAGCCCAAAUAGAGUCCAGCGCUUACCCACUUUCCAUUGAAUACACUGCCUGUACACCUGAGACCGCCACAGUCCAGACCCGAGUGCAACCUGCCCCAAGUAACUCCUUUGCUGCAAUGGCUGAAGCUCAUUUUUUUCACAUAGAGACUUCAAAUCACCAACAUGUAGCCCCCAGCUGGAACGCCUUCCACAUAAAAGGGAUAGCUCCCCUAAAAGGUAUAUAUUUUAUGUCUUUUUUUUUAACUUUUUUUUUUUAAGAUGGGAUUUUUAUGUUGCCCAGGCUGAUCUUGAACUCCUAGCCUCAAGUGAUCCUCCUGCCUCAGCCUCCCAAAGUGCUAGGAUUAUAGGAGUGAGCCACCACACCUGGCAGGUGUAUCUUAUUGUAUGUAAAUUAUACCCUCAUUAAACCUGACUUUUUUUUUUCUUUUUGGUUGUAAGUUUAUUCAACGCAAAAGAAUCCUCUCCAAUUUUACUGAGUCUCGCAGGUUGCUCACCCUCCAGACCUUUAGGCCGAGGCCUGCCAGUCUCUGGAUGCCUACGGCGUAGGGUGGCAGGCACAAUCUCCGGGGGCAGAUGAAGGUAAUCAUGGAGAUACUGGAUACCCUCAUUGGUAAGGUACCAGUAGAAAUGUCUCCAGGCAAACUGUUCCUUCACGUAGCCUCGGGACUAGAGAGACUGCAUGGCUUUCAUGACAUGAAGGUUGGGCACAUUCUUGUCUGCCAGCUCCGGGUGCUUAGGCAUGUGGACAUCCUUCUUG
rnacentral:lncRNA from 1 species